AGUGAACGCUGGCGGCGUGCUUAACACAUGCAAGUCGAACGAGAACGGGAUAUAGCUUGCUAUAUUUGUCAGCUAAGUGGCGCACGGGUGAGUAAUGUAUAGAUAACCUGCCCUCUAGAAAGGAAUAACAGUUGGAAACGACUGCUAAUGCCCUAUAUGCCUUUAAUACACAAGUAUGCAAGGGAAACGCUUUAGUGCUAGAGGAUGGGUCUGUAUGGUAUCAGCUUGUUGGUGAGGUAAUGGCUCACCAAGGCUAUGACGCCUAACUGGUUUGAGAGGAUGAUCAGUCACACUGAAACUGAGACACGGUCCAGACUCCUACGGGAGGCAGCAGUGGGGAAUAUUGCACAAUGGACGAAAGUCUGAUGCAGCAACGCCGCGUGGAGGAUGACACAUUUCGGUGCGUAAACUCCUUUUAUAUAGGAAGAUAAUGACGGUACUAUAUGAAUAAGCACCGGCUAACUCCGUGCCAGCCGCCGCGGUAA
rnacentral:rRNA from 1 species